UCUCCGUUGGUGAACCAGCGGAGGGAUCAUUACCGAGUUUACAACUCCCAAACCCCAAUGUGAACGUUACCAAACUGUUGCCUCGGUGGGAAAUUCAUGCCCCGGGCGCGUCGCAGCCCCGGACCAAGGCGCCCGCCGGAGGACCAACCAAAGCUCUUUUGUAUGUCCCUCGCGGACUUUUAUAAUUCUGAACCAUCUCGGCGCCCCUAGCGGGCGUUUCGAAAAUGAAUCAAAACUUUCAACAACGGAUCUCUUGGUUCUG
rnacentral:misc_RNA from 1 species